rnacentral:rRNA from 1 species
AAUGAACGCUGGCGGCGUGCUUAACACAUGCAAGUCGAACGAGGCUGGGGGGGCAACUCUCCAGUUUAGUGGCGGACGGGUGAGUAACACGUGGGUAACCUGCCCGGAAGUGGGGAAUACCUCGGGGAAACUCGAGCUAAUACCGCAUGACAUCUUCGGGACGAAAGUCCUGACGAUCAAAGCGGGGUCGCAAGAUCUCGCGCUACCGGAUGGGCCCGCGCCCGAUUAGCUAGUUGGUGAGGUAACGGCUCACCAAGGCUUCGAUCGGUAACCGGCC